rnacentral:lncRNA from 1 species
CCGUUCAUUUUUUUAUGACGUUAUCUUCGGGAUUUACAAAUAUUAUUCUUUGAUUUGCCCCAAAUCAAGAAAAGGAUUUUAGUCCCCCGUCAUACCCAUACUACCAACAUUAAAACCAGAUCAAAGUUGAAAUCUUUAAUUUACUUAAAACUAAAAGAACAAAGAAACAUAAUAUGCGAAAUCGAAAAGCGAAGAGAAGAAUUGGAAUGUACGUCUCAUGGCAAGUCCCAAAUGGUAAAAGCAGCGACGCUGCUCCACAAGGCGAUGGAAUAUGAGACAACUCAUCGACGGAGGAGCUCCCCGGAGGAAGGACCGUCUACAUCAAUGAGCGUCGCUAUGUGACGUUAUCCUCGGGAUAUACAAACAUGAUCUGGUUUGCCCCGCUUCAUAGAUAAGGAUUUCAAAUCCCCCGUCACGUUAGAUUGAACACAAGAGAAGAAACAAAGAAGAAUAAAACAAUCUUGUAGGACAUAAAUUGAGAACAAAACCUACAAAAUUUUGAAACGACUAAUGCAGAAAGUAAACCAAAAACUGAUAACUUUGAACAUAGAUCAGACCCAAAUCAAUCGAAACUACUAAAAGAUUUGUUAAGGUAUAAGAAGAAAAAUUACUUCACUGCUGCGUCAAAGAAGGCUGUGUUCUGGUGUUAAUUUAUAGCCUGGAUUUGAUCACCACGAAUUGUUAGUGGCCGCCGCUCAUUAGGGUUGCGAUUACGUAAGAAAUAAGAAUACAAUAUUUGAAGGACCAUGAAGACCUAAAUCUCAGACGGCCCAACACCAAAGCCCAAUCUGCAUAUUUGCGGCUUUGCA